UGGAUAAUAGAAGUAUGUUUGACCAGAAAAAAGGACAACUGAAAUGUUUAUUUUUAAUAAUAAAAUGGAGAGAAAUAAAUAAACGUAUUUUAAUUUCGAAGCAAUUAAUAAUAGAGAAAAAGACAAAAAUAGCAAUAAAUCAAGUUUUUGUUCUCAAACUAUCAUUCAAGGUCAAAAGCCACAAAAAUAGCAUUUAAUAUUUUAUCAAAAGUCACAAACUUAGGGUUUAGAGUUAAAGGGUGGGGUUUAGGAUUUAGGGUUUAGGGUUUAUGGUUUAGGGUUUAGAGUUUAGGGUUUAGGGUUUAGGGUUUAGGGUUU
rnacentral:lncRNA from 1 species